rnacentral:lncRNA from 1 species
CUCAGUUUCCCUCUACCCUGAGUAACAUCUGAUCCUAUGACUAUCGUGGUCCCUCAGUUCCUGAUCAACAUGCUUCCAGUUGCAGAUAUUUUUAUUUCACCUUUAAAGGAUGUACAGUAAGGGCGAGAACAUCUCGAUGAAAUCUCUGCAGUAAAUAACUCUUGGAUCCCUUUCCCAUACAAGUGAAAGGACAAAAGGAUGAUACGCUGAGAUGGCCUCUUCACCUGCACCAAUGCCAGG